GGGCGAAGCCUGAUCCAGCCAUGCCGCGUGAAUGAUGAAGGCCUUAGGGUUGUAAAAUUCUUUCAGCAGGGAAGAUAAUGACGGUACCUGCAGAAGAAGCCCCGGCUAACUCCGUGCCAGCAGCCGCGGUAAUACGGAGGGGGCUAGCGUUGUUCGGAAUUACUGGGCGUAAAGCGCUCGUAGGCGGAUUGGUCAGUCAGGGGUGAAAGCCCGGAGCUCAACUCCGGAACUGCCUUUGAUACUGCCAGUCUUGAGUUCGGGAGAGGUGAGCGGAAUACCGAGUGUAGAGGUGAAAUUCGUAGAUAUUCGGUGGAACACCAGAGGCGAAGGCGGCUCACUGGACCGAUACUGACGCUGAGGAGCGAAAGCGUGGGGAGCAAACAGGAUUAGAUACCCUGGUAGUCCACGCCGUAAACGAUGAGAGCUAGUUGUCUGGCAGCAUGCUGUUAGGUGACGCAGCUAACGCAUUAAGCUCUCCGCCUGGGGAGUACGGCCGCAAGGUUAAAACUCAAAUG
rnacentral:rRNA from 1 species